GAUGAACGCUAGCGGCAGGCCUAAUACAUGCAAGUCGAACGGGUGGUCGCAAGACCCCUAGUGGCGCACGGGUGCGUAACGCGUAACCAACCUGCCCCGAUCUGGGGGAUAGCCCGCCGAAAGGCGGAUUAAUACCGCAUAUACCCGCAGCCUGGCAUCAGGCAACGGGGAAAGAUUUAUUGGAUCGGGAUGGGGUUGCGUGACAUUAGCUAGUUGGCGGGGUAAGGGCCCACCAAGGCGACGAUGUCUAGGGGACCUGAGAGGGUGAUCCCCCACACUGGCACCGAGAUACGGGCCAGACUCCUACGGGAGGCAGCAGUAGGGAAUAUUGGGCAAUGGGCGAGAGCCUGACCCAGCCAUGCCGCGUGCCGGAUGAAGGCCUUCUGGGUUGUAAACGGCUUUUCUCAGGGAAGAAAAAGACCUUGCGAGGUACACUGACGGUACCUGAGGAAUAAGCACCGGCUAACUCCGUG
rnacentral:rRNA from 1 species